CGCAAGAGGAGCACACCGUUGCCAUUGCAGACCGUCACUCCCUGAGGAGCCUGAGAGCCGGCCGGGUGCUGGGCUCCUGGCUAUCCCUGUGAUGGUAGCUCAGCGAGAUCUGGGGACCUGGCGCUGAGCGCGUUGCCAGCCGGGAUCUUCCUCUUCAUCUAGGCCUGGGCGCUGGCGUGAGAACUCGGACUGGGUCCUGGACGAGCGCCCCCCGAAACUCCUUGGAACCUUGAACAAGUAAAAUGCAGGAAGUUUGCUAAUAAAGACAUCACCAAAGGUUAAAGAGAAAAUCAUCUAGAGGAAAUGCUGGCAGUAUGGCAUGUGUUCUUUAACAAAUCUCUACAGCAGAUUCUCUCGUUUUAGGGACUAUCCAGAUUAUGAUUGGCAUCUUUCACAUUUUCAUGUGGUACUUUCUAUUGGUUUUGUAUAUGGGACAAAUUAAAGGAGCCUUUGGAACGUAUGAACCUGUAACUUACAAAACAGGAUGUACUUUAUGGGGAAUUUUUAAACUUGGGAGGGAAGUAUCACGUAUUUUACUGUUCUUCUACGGUUUGGAAUUUUCUAUUGCACUUACACACUCAAUAUACAGCUGUUCCAAUUUGUUUCGAAGACAAAAUGAUCUUACAUCUGUUACUGAGGAAGCUGAGAGCACUCCUUAAAAACCCUAGAAAUAUGAGAAUUUUGCUGUUGCUGAUGCCUGGUGUGGGUCCUAAUGAUAUCUCUGUAUAACAAAGCAGUUACGAAGCCUACAGAUUUUGUGCAAAAUAAAAUACAAACAAGAUUGUCUACUGUAUGCCAAUGAAUAAUAUCUUAAGCUCUGGAGUAUCAACAAUUAAUAAGGUACCACUCAGCAGACAUCAGUGCCAAUGCCAUUUGGGCUUGCAAGUAGGAUCCAGUGUCAAGAGAACUUCCAUCACUACAACAUCAGGAUCAAGAAGACCUUAGCAGCUACUACCACCAUAAACCCCAACAACUCACACUACUGCAACAAACAUCCCCACUGUUGCAUGCUGAGGAUCCAUGUAAUCUUUGUCAGUACCAAACCCAGCUGACAGAGCUGCAAAGAGACUGCACAGCUGUGCACUCAGUGAUGCCAGAACUGCUG
rnacentral:lncRNA from 1 species